CAAAGACUGAAGCGGACGGCAUGAAGGCAAUGGCAGUUUACGAGUCGGUGUGGUUUCAGACCCCAUGACCUCUGAAACUCUGCAUCAAGUUUGGUGUUCAGUCUCUGAAACCACACUGACUCGUAACCUGCCAUUUCUUCAAAUUUUCCCUCUCUCUCUCUCUGUCUCUGUCUCUCUCUCUCUCUCUCUCAUCGCAGCUCUAGAAUAGCCAGGAGGAUGAAAACGCAUAGCUUCUUCUGGGGAGCCAUGUGCUAAAGAUGAACUAGCAACGAGAUCAAAGGUGGCGGAUCCGGGGGUGUGGUCGACGGCGAACCGCUGCGACUGAUGUGCGAGGACGAUGCGAUCCGAUUGUGGGAUUUUCGGGGUCCACAGCCGACUCCGGCUUCUCUUAUUUGGCUGGUUAGAGUUUCAAUUUCGUUGAUUCGGCUGCUAUCAAUGAUUCUGAGUCGAUUUGAUCUAGUUAUGCUGUAGUCAGUUGUGGCUUCUGUUCAAUUAUUUUGGCCACCCAUGUUAUUGGCUGCUUAGGUGGUGAAUGGCUAACACGUGCGUUGAAAUGGAGAGAGCAAAACUUGAAACAGGGAGUGGUUCGAGCUCAAGAGCCCGCUUCGGGCUGUACACUUCUGCAUUUUAAAUCUGGAAAAUCUGCGCCUUCCAGAAACACGCCCUCAAUGUUCAGAAGGAACAACAACGUUGGUGGUGGCUUUGGAUCAUCCUCGGGCCUUUCUCUUAUCUUUUCAUCAUUGUUUGAAGUUACCCACAUCCUAUGAUUUGGUUUUCCAAUUAAUAAAUCUUGUCAAUUGCAAACCUUUUCUUCACAAUUUUUAUCAAAUAAAAAAAUGGUUUUUUUUUUUGGUAAGAAAUUUAAAAUUUUUGCUUGCUCGGAUGUUUGUCUUGAGUGAACUAUUUUCUCGUAUUGUUUGUGUUAGAUUGAAAAACAAUAAGCUCCAUCCAGUACUGGACAUGGCUCCCAACACAUCGGAGAGCGACGUCCCCUGAAUUCGAGAUGAUGAUAACCAGGAAAAUGGAGCCUCCGGCGAAGAUCAGGAACCUGGCCCCAAGAAGAAGCGCAACCAUCGCCACACCCAGCACCAGAUCCCCUAGUAUUGGGCAAAUAGGCACAGAUUUUCCGCAGUUUAAAUGCAGAAGUGAUCAGACCAGUAUCUGGAGCGCGAACCAUUCUUUUGUUUCAAAAUUGGUUGCAGCCAUUAAUCUACCUACCUGGAUGCUUGCAUGGAGAUACUUGUUAGCCACAUCAACAAUUUUUAACCGGUGUUAGAAGAGGGGGAUUAACACACCCAACAUUUGAAAGUAUAAGGCAUAUCAAAAAACUCUAACUGUUUGUGGGAGGAGGGGGAGAAGUUUCCCGUUUUAAUUUUAUUUUCUGGAGGGUCUUGUAGUCAUAUAUAUUUUACUCCCUUCAAUCCCUUACCCGAGUUGCAAAACUCUUGCAUGAUAUGAAACAUGCCAUUAGUUCACUGUCAGCAAAUUCUUGGCGAAUGAUUCUAAUAUCUUUUUUAACAUGGCAGAUGUUUUUUGAUAACAAAAAAGAAGACAGUUUAUUAAAA